AUGUCAUUGUAAGCUGUGAGAAUGUGACUGUAUCUGUGGGGAAAGAAGUAACUCACCUGCAGCAUCUCUCUGCUGCUCACUGAAUGCUGCAUUACACGGUAUAAGUUUCAAUACCCUGAGAGCAUUUAUGACGCCGCAGUCUGUCAUCAAGUUUUUCCUGUGAACAGAGGAACAGCUUCACAUGCCGCUAAACUCCAACUACAGCAAUGACAGAACAAUUCAGAUUCUUUAUGCAAACAAAGUGUGGAGCGAAAAUAACAGAAUUCACUGUGGACAUAACAGAAUCCAUGAAGCAUAAACCUGACACUGAAGCUCCUGGCAAGAAAGGUAUUGUAACUGAGGCCAUCGUCAUCACUGCAGUAAGCUGUUUCAUCAUCAUCAUCGUUACUGCAAUCAUCUGUGUGAAGAGGUUCAUAAGUACCAACCCUUCUGGAUUACAGAAGAAAUAUGAAAGAGGUGUUUCUGAAGAACAAACAGUGAUGACAACCAAUGUUUAGAAAGAAACACUAUGAAAACAGCAAAUUGUGUUUAAUCUUUCAUGUAAACAUCAUAGACGUGAUAAUGUCCUGUUUAACUAAAUAUGCUGAACUGUAAAAUUCACAUACAGUGUCGGAAACAAUGAUUGAUCAAUAUAUUGGUCAAACUAAUGAAUCAGCCAAUAUUUGGCUAUGCGGAGAAUAUAUCUGCAUCAGAUAAUAAUUCUGCCCUUGUGUUUUCAAAGACUUUAAUGUAUUUUAAGUAAAUAUUGUGUAAACUAAGUGUUUUUUUAGCAUUUUUGAGCAUCAUAUAGCUGCAUUGCAUAUGCCAUUGCAUUGACCUAUUGUAUUUGCAUUAUCAUUUUUUAUUUAUUAAAUUGCUGUUAAAUUAUGAAAGUGUCAUGAUACUCUAAAAAUGGUCUAAAAUCUAUUUUUAUCAUUUUUAAUAAACUUGUCAUCAGUGAAGAGUAAGAAUAAAUCUAAUUUGUGGUAAAUGGUAAAGUCUGUUCUGGUGUAAGAUGAAUAUAAUACUGUUGCAAUUAAUUCAUCUACCAGCAGAGAGCAUGUCCUGAUAUGAUGAAAUCAACUCUCUUUGACCAAAAUGAAUGUCACAUGAAAUCAUUUUUUAAACAGCACCUGAAUGUACAUAAACGCAUCUUGUGUCUUGUUCUGAGGUGAAUAUAUGCUUCAUUUAGUUGUUGAUUGAGUGUCAUUUAGUGACUCUUGGUGGAGGAUUGCUGCUAGUUUAUUAUUCCCAAUGAUAACAAAACUAAUUUUGUUAUAAACUGAAAGUAAAGAAAACACUAUUAUGUUUUUAUUUCUUUGAAGUUUCUUUAUUUUUUCACUUUGGUCCUGGUCUUUCAUAUGUGCUUCACUUGUAAAAGUUUGUGUAGACUUUCUUUUUCUUCUAUAA
ensembl:lncRNA